GGAUCCUCUGUUUCCGGGAGGCAGAGAGUCUCUGCCUCCCUCAACCUCAUUGGUCCACCUGUAUAGACUGCCAUGUAGGCAAAUUUUAUUUUAAAAAAUAAAUAAAAUUUCCGCCUGAGCUUCCUAACGGCAACGGCAGCCACUAACGGUGCUUUCCAUUUUCGUUCUCCGGAGAUUUUUACAAGAGAUUUCUUCUCCUGUCUGUGGAUUCUAAUUUCAAAUUCCUUCUUUUACAGAUGGAUUCGAUCAAAGCUCCCGCUGGAAGAAAAAUCCCCUUUUUUCUUUUGACAAUCGGAGGCCCCUCCUUCCCCAAUCUCUCUCAAUCUCUUUCGCCCAUUUUUCAUCGUUCGAUUCAUGACAGGCUGCCCGCCGAUAGCCGAUUUCGGCCCAUUGAAGUCUAUUUCAUCCAUUCAUCCAUCGAAGAUUCACCCCAUCUCACAGGUGGGUACUUGCUUCUUUCAUGAAAUUUGUGCUUGGAAUGGAAGUACAUGGUGGAAUAUCAGAAUAUUCUGGGAUUGCUGGAGGCUCGUGCGGAACUUUAACCUUUGCUUUUUAAAUCUCAUGAUUGCUUAAAGGAUCUAUUAUUUUUGGAUAUUGCCCUUGAUUCUACAGUUAGGACGGCCGUUGAGAGGGGAUAUGAGGAAUUGAAUAAUGUUGAACCAGAGAGAUGCUUAUUGCCAAUAAAGACAAACUCCCGUGCAUUGAUUGCAUUUCCCAGGUUCAGAAACUACAAAAGGAGCUACAAGAGGAGAUCGACUUGCAUUUUGCUUUGGCAAAUGCUGUUGCUCAAACUUCUGCACCUUUGUCUGGUUCUCCUUCUCAGAUUCCCACCAAGGCUCAAGAGUUGUUGUCUAACAAAGCUGUGCUCGAGUUCAUAGUUCUAAAGCUUGAAGAAGAAUUGAUUGCCUUGCAUUUUCUACUUAGUCAGGAGAGGAAUGAACGCAUAUAAGUUGGAGCCCUGAUCUUCAAUAUUAAUGCUAGAGAAGGAUCCUUCAAUUUGGUUACUUCCACUUCUUUAUGCUUAUAAUACAUAUUAUUUGAUAUUUCCAAAUGGACCCUCGAAUUUAUAGUAUAUGUAGUUCAAAACUGGAAGCUAA